GUGCUCGCUUCAGCAGUACAUACACUAAAAUUAAAACGAUACAGAGAUGAUUAGCAUGGCCCCUGCACAAGUGUGACAUGCAAAUUCAUGAAGCGUUCCAUAUUUUU